UUCGGCUGACGAGAUUUUAAAAACUUGUAAAUUGUUUUAUUUUUGUCGUUUGGUAGCGUAACUUCAGGCCAAGUUAGUCGAAUUAAAUAUAUGAUGAUUGCCCCCUGACUAAUUUAAAAGAAGCCUUUUUUAACAAUAAUUUUUUGAAUGUUUUAAAUAACUUUUAAAUAAUUUUUGAUAUGGCAUGCAUUUACAAUCUGUAAGGUAUUUGCUUGAAAAUGGAUUUAUUGAAAAUUCACAAACUCUUUAUUAAGAAUUGUCAGUAAAGAUUUAUCUCCUUCAUAAUUCAGAUUUUUAUCAGUUGUUGACUGUUCAUAAGUCAAUAAAGAGUAGAGCACGACAUUCCUCAGGAGUCAAGAACAACUAGGCGGUGAAGUGCCCCAAGAAGUCUUUACUGUCUUAUCAGAUGAGCCUUUAAUUAGAAGUUCACGCCUCCUUUCUAACCGAUAAUGAAAAACUUGCCCAGAAGUGGUGUUUGAACCACGAAUCCUUUGUUUCUGAGGCAAGUGCGUCAUGACUGCUAAAAAAGACUUCGAGAGAAGCAUUGCUGCAAUUUCUUGUUACGAUGAACUGUUAUCAAGUUUUAAGCCUAUAAGUGAAACACAUAUGUUAAUAAAAGAUGACUUUCAUUUUUCAAAAUA